rnacentral:tRNA from 2 species
GGAAGCGGUGACUGGCUCCACAGCGCUCAUAAUGCCGGGGUCGAGGGUUCGAGUCCCUCCCUUUCCACCA